UACGUAGGGCGCAAGCGUUAUCCGGAAUUAUUGGGCGUAAAGAGCUCGUAGGCGGUUUGUCGCGUCGGCUGUGAAAACCCGGGGCUCAACCCCGGGCCUGCAGUCGAUACGGGCAAACUAGAGUGUGGUAGGGGAGACUGGAAUUCCUGGUGUAGCGGUGAAAUGCGCAGAUAUCAGGAGGAACACCGGUGGCGAAGGCAGGUCUCUGGGCCACUACUGACGCUGAGAAGCGAAAGCAUGGGGAGCGAACAGG
rnacentral:rRNA from 1 species